rnacentral:rRNA from 1 species
AUUGAACGCUGGCGGAAUGCUUUACACAUGCAAGUCGAACGGCAGCACGGGAGCUUGCUCCUGGUGGCGAGUGGCGAACGGGUGAGUAAUGCAUCGGAACGUACCUUUUAGUGGGGGAUAACUAUCCGAAAGGAUAGCUAAUACCGCAUACGCCCUGAGGGGGAAAGCAGGGGAUCGCAAGACCUUGCGCUAAUAGAGCGGCCGAUGUUCGAUUAGCUAGUUGGUGGGGUAAAGGCUCACCAAGGCGACGAUCGAUAGCUGGUCUGAGAGGAUGAUCAGCCACACUGGAACUGAGACACGGUCCAGACUCCUACGGGAGGCAGCAGUGGGGAAUUUUGGACAAUGGGGGCAACCCUGAUCCAGCCAUUCCGCGUGAGUGAAGAAGGCCUUCGGGUUGUAAAGCUCUUUCGGCAGGAACGAAACGGUGAUUGCUAAUACCAAUUACUAAUGACGGUACCUGAAGAAGAAGCACCGGCUAACUACGUGCCAGCCGCCGCGGUAACAC